rnacentral:rRNA from 1 species
GGGUAAAAUUCCCUAAUCCCUUGAGGACCCCCAGUGGGGAAAGCGGUUUAGCAGAACCCUUUUGACGGUGAGGGAUGAAAACUGGGGGAACCAACCGGAUUAGAUUCCCGGGUAGUUCCAACUGUAAACGAUGCCAACUCGGUGUUGCUUUGACUUUUGGCCAAUUCCGUUCCGCAGGGAAACCGUUAAAUUUGCCCCCUUGGGAGUACGGUCGCAAGUUUGAAAAUUAAAGGAAUUGGCGGGGGAGCCCCACAAGGGGGAAGCAGCGGUUCAAUCGAGUCAAAGCCG